UCCCUGGCAGUCCAGUGGCUAAGACUCUGCGCUCCCAACUCAGGGGGCCUGGGUUUGAACCCUGGUCGGGGAA
rnacentral:tRNA from 1 species